GCUGGACUCGUGGCGGCAUAAACUCAUUCACUGUGUAGGGUUCGAAAGCAUUUUGGAGGGGCUGUUUGGACCAGGACUCGUAAAAGAUCUUACCCUCUUUCAAGAUUGUGAGCCAGAGGGUGUGUCAGAUUGGUCGUUUAAUGAACAUUGUCUCUUUUGCUGCUUGAGACGUGAAAAAGUGAAGGAAAAGUUGGUUGGUUUGAACAACCAAGUGUUAUCAGAAGCGGACAGCUUCAAGCAAGAGCAGUCCAACAUUAACAAACUUGAGAAGCAAGCAGAGGAUUUCCUCAAUGUUGUCUUCUAUA